ACAGCAGUAGCCACGGUAAUACGUAGGGUGCGAGCGUUAAUCGGAAUUACUGGGCGUAAAGCGUGCGCAGGCGGUUCGUUAAGACAGAUGUGAAAUCCCCGGGCUUAACCUGGGAACUGCAUUUGUGACUGGCGAGCUAGAGUAUGGCAGAGGGGGGUAGAAUUCCACGUGUAGCAGUGAAAUGCGUAGAGAUGUGGAGGAAUACCGAUGGCGAAGGCAGCCCCCUGGGCCAGUACUGACGCUCAUGCACGAAAGCGUGGGGAGCAAACAGGAUUAGAUACCCGCGUAGUCCCUGUCUCUUAUAC
rnacentral:rRNA from 1 species